GCCCUGAUGGUCUAGCGGUAUGAUUCUCCCUUAGGGAUUUGGCUUCCAUCCAUUUCAUAUCUGGGAGAGGUCCCAGGUUCGAUCCCUGGUUAGGGCC